GUAGCCGUGUGUUAACGUCUUUAAGAUGCCCAUUACAUAGCCAAAUACACGGCGCAACCUUGUAGCAUGCGGGCGAACAGGCAGCUAAUCGUCGGAGUCCCUCCUCUUCCCGGACGCGAAUCACUUCCUAGUAAGGUGAAACAAAUCAAACCCUAGUCUCCAAAUACAUUCUCAGCGAUUGUUUAGACCACUCAAAUGCCAAACUCUAAUGUGUUAGUAACAGCAGACUCGCCUAAGUAGCCUACUAAACCCCCGCUGAAAAUAUAAGACUUUAGUGAGGAUUUUAUUUUGAAAGAGGCACGUUCAUGGAUUCAAGCAUGCGUUGGCAGUAGGCUGUUAUGUUGCCAAAAUAUGGUUAUGAUCGCUUGCUCUCACGUUUUAAACCCUGGAGCAAUUGGACAGCAUAUAGCCUAACUGUGACCAAUCCAUAAAGUCAAGAUAGCCUAACACCUCUUCUCAAAUUUGACUCCAUGUUGAAUACCCUGAGAUCAUAACCUUUACAAAAUUAGUCUGGAUGAAAACUGUUAGCCUUAUAGAUUAGUAACUUAUGUUGUGAUAGGCUAUGCGUAAGUUGAUGUAGCCUAUAUCCAUAUCUCAAAAUAAGAAUUUGACAUUGCUUAUCAAGCCACUGAUUCCAAGCUUUCUUUGUCAAUCCUUCGUUUUUUAAGUAGAGGGGAAAAACAAGACAAUUAAAAAGAUUGACAGGUAGGGUUCUACUGCCGGAGUGACGCUUGUAGCGCUUGUAGCGAGGGGAGGAGUGUAGCGGAGAAACGCUACUCGAUGCGUCUGUCCAUCAGUUGAUGCUGUCUGAAACGCUUCUGGAUCCGCUGCGCUUCAGUUUUUUCCCUCGGAGCAGCAGAGAAGACGUCGGCUAGCGCACUCCCUGGAGUUUACAGAAGAGAAAUUAGUUCAUGUCGAUCUGUCCGCGAGGGUGGACGCCUUCACGUUGUUUGUUUCUUUUAGUAGCGGGCGCCUCACCUCGCCAACCACCCGCGAAUGUCUGCCUAGACCAGAGGCCAGUGAGAAUCAUUUUCACGACUCCCAAUAUCUGAUGUUCGAGAAGCGCUGGUACGGAAAUACAUUUCACACGCUUUCGCUCACAUUGGACUUAUUUGUUUUGUUACAAUCCGAGUUCAUUUCUUUUUGGGGGAGAGAAGGCGUCACAAAGUAGCCCAACAACACCGUGAGAUAGAUAGUGAUUUCAGCCGCGGUGGCAGCAGCGGAGUGACUGAAACUUGGCUCUGAUGUCUGACGCUUUUUUCUGCGACUGAGAUGAGCGAAGAUGGUCUUUUAUAGACACUACACGACCUGGAACCACCCCAACGCUGUUGUAAUUUCUCAGAAACUUUUUUCUUUUUCUUUUGUGUGUUUGAUCAUUCGCCUGUAUUGGUGAAAAAAAAACAUUAGACAAAGCUGCACGUUGUCAGGUGGGCUGAAUUCUUAAAUUAGUAAAGAUACAAAAAACAAACAAACAGGCAACAGAACGGUAAAAUAAACUACUGACAGUUGUUUACGACAGAAAACUACGGGAUGGUUUUUCUCCACUGACAGACUGGUUAUUUUAGUUCCUGCAUGAGAAUCAUUGUGGAGAGUGACGGACACUAUGCCAAGGAGAAAGCAACAAGAGCCGAGGCGAUCCGCAGGAGUGAAAGAUAGAGAAGGGGAGUCGGAGGGUGACUGACUGGCUGGGAAGAACAUUCAACCAGUGCUCCCUUUUUCACUCUCUCACUAUCUCUCUACCUCUCUCUACCUCUCUCUCAUUCUUUCUCUCUCCUAAUAUCCGUCUGCCUGUCUAUCCACUGGAUAUAAUAUAAAGAAAACUGGAAGAGAGACUUCAAUGUGUACUGAUGGACCCACAGCAUGAAAGUCUCUCAAUCUACACAUACAAUACAAUACAUACACACCUCUUCCGUGAUGAUUCCCAGCUGAUCCUGCAUGUAAACACCAUGUCACCUUGACCCCUGUGUCAUGGUGCAUAUUGAUCCCGACGGUCUCUGACGGUGUGUUCAUAAGGGGUCACGGCAGGGUCAAUCCCAGGCCGACAAGCACAGUUUACACUAUCUCUGUAUCAUGUCGGCUGUGCAGAGAGGACACACACACUAUGAUUGUCUGCUAGAACAAAUACAAAAUGCACACCAGCUGGUGCAACACAGGGUUUUGUUACUGAUCUGUCUCACACUGUAGUCUGAGAGAGGGAAAGACACAGACAGAGGGAGAGGGAGAGGGAGAGAGAGAGGGAGAGGGAGGUACAGAUACAGAAAGAGAGAAGUAGAGCGAGAGAUUUAUAGAAAGAGCGGUUGGAGGAGUGCUAAACGUCGGUUGAGUUUGGAAUGAGAGCUGAUCAUUGAGAAGGUUUCCAGGAGAGGCCACUCAGACAGAUGGACCCCUAAGAUCCUACAGGACUUUGUGUUUUGUGUGUUGUUGUAUAUUUUUGAUAGACGCUAUAAUAGGUACAUAUAUUUAUACAGUAUGUAACUUUGUUUUUAUGUGUGUCUAAGGGUUGAGGAGUGUCUCCAAGAUAAAUGUUUUUUAUCUUCGAGACAAGACUAUUCUGUGGCUUCUUAGUCACGUUUCCAGGUUUUUCUUAAGCAUUGCAAGCACUCGCUAAAAGUUCAAACCUCACACUUGAGAGUUGCAAUGGACAUUACACUAUUUUUUUGUAACAAGUUAAUGUUAUACGCUAAUGAACCUCAUGUCAUUAACACAAGGCCUAUCACUUGACAGUUUUGUAAUAAUAAGAUAUUGCUCAGCCAAUUGUGUGUGUUACUGCAUCUGUGUGUGUGUUCUAUUUGUGUGUGUGUGUGUAUGUGCCAUCUUUCAAAUGUUACUUGAGACAGUAAAUUGGCCCAGAUUUCCAUAAUGUAUAUUUAGUUUUCGUGGAGAGACCAUUUAUAUGUAAUGUUUCUAUUUCAGAUGUAGGUUUAUAGUGCGUAAUUAAUUUAAUUUACGACUGUCCAUAGUUAAUUCGAGUCAAUUUAACAACGUGUGUGUGUGUGUGUGCAUGCGUGUGUGUGUGUGCAGUUCUCAUGCGGACGUUAGGCUGAAGUGAGAUUCGUCCUUGACUUAGAAGCCUCAACCAGUAGUAAUGAGGAUGAGAACGAUUGUUUUAAAAAAAAAAAAAAAAGGGGGGGGGGGAAAGAGUGAUCUUUCAUUUAAAGGCUG